rnacentral:rRNA from 1 species
AUUGAACGCUGGCGGCAGGCCUAACACAUGCAAGUCGAACGGUAACAGGAAGCAGCUUGCUGCUUCGCUGACGAGUGGCGGACGGGUGAGUAAUGUCUGGGAAGCUGCCUGAUGGAGGGGGAUAACUACUGGAAACGGUAGCUAAUACCGCAUAAUGUCGCAAGACCAAAGAGGGGGACCUUCGGGCCUCUUGCCAUCGGAUGUGCCCAGAUGGGAUUAGCUUGUUGGUGGGGUAACGGCUCACCAAGGCGACGAUCCCUAGCUGGUCUGAGAGGAUGACCAGCCACACUGGAACUGAGACACGGUCCAGACUCCUACGGGAGGCAGCAGUGGGGAAUAUUGCACAAUGGGCGCAAGCCUGAUGCAGCCAUGCCGCGUGUAUGAAGAAGGCCUUCGGGUUGUAAAGUACUUUCAGCGGGGAGGAAGAGAGUAAAGUUAAUACCUUUGCUCAUUGACGUUACCCACAGAAGAAGCACCGGCUAACUCCGUG